UACGUAGGGUGCAAGCGUUAUCCGGAAUUAUUGGGCGUAAAGAGCUCGUAGGCGGUUUGUCGCGUCUGCUGUGAAAACUGGAGGCUCAACCUCCAGCCUGCAGUGGGUACGGGCAAACUAGAGUGCGGUAGGGGAGAUUGGAAUCCCUGGUGUAGCGGUGGAAUGCGCAGAUAUCAGGAGGAACACCGAUGGCGAAGGCAGAUCUCUGGGCCGUAACUGACGCUGAGGAGCGAAAGCAUGGGGAGCGAACAGG
rnacentral:rRNA from 1 species